UACGUAGGGUGCAAGCGUUGUCCGGAAUUAUUGGGCGUAAAGAGCUCGUAGGCGGUCUGUCGCGUCGGAUGUGAAACCUCGGGGCUCAACCCCGAGCCUGCAUUCGAUACGGGCAGACUAGAGUUCGGUAGGGGAGACUGGAAUUCCUGGUGUAGCGGUGAAAUGCGCAGAUAUCAGGAGGAACACCGGUGGCGAAGGCGGGUCUCUGGGCCGAUACUGACGCUGAGGAGCGAAAGCGUGGGGAGCAAACAGG
rnacentral:rRNA from 1 species